CAAGGAUGUGCGCGGGCGGAGACGCAGGGGCUCGGCCGGAGCUUCCUGAAGAGCCCUGCGGCUUCCCCCCGCGUGGGCGCGGCUUUCGGUGGGCGCCCUGGGAUAGCGUCCUCGCUGACGUUCGGGGCCGUGAGACUUUCCGCCUCUGAGCGGCUGCUGACUGUGGCAUCCCUGUGGUCUUACUGUUCAUCUCCCCGGAGACAGUGAAGUUGAAUAGUUCUCACGUGUUGAUAUGGGAGGAGAUAAUCCAGGUGCUUGUCCUUGACGGUGUCUGUCUCCAUGGAGGAUAGUGGAUUCUGGAGCCAGGAAGCCAGAGAACUAUAUUGCAGAGGAACCAAAGAAUCCAUGAGGUGAAAUUCCGAUGAACUUUCUAACAGGAGAAUCCGGUUGACCCCACCUGAGCUUACUGACCUAUCCUGUCACAACUCAAAGUAGAAGAAAGACGAUGAGCCUCCCCACUGGGCCACGAUGGAAAGCACAGCACCAUCUACAAAGGGUUCUUGCCUUUAAAAGUAAACCUGAAUCCAAUCAAGUCUCUGAAUCCAACCACUAGCUUUUAAGAAAUACAGAAGACAAAGGAAGAAGUUAAAGAAGGCCUCUGGGCAGCAAUCAGCCACAUCUAGGAUACAGGACAUCCUAGAGAUGCAGAGAACAAACUAGUUUCUCCAAGAAAUCAAUGGCAUUUUUAAUAAGAAUAAAGAAUAAAGCAAAAAGAACCAAGGAUAUUUAAGAUAUACCCAAACGCAAUGUGUGGGUCUUGUUUGGAUCCUGAUUCAGACAAAUGAACUCUAAAAGACCUUGUUAAGAAUUUGAUCAGGCUAAGGGACUAUGGGAUUUGAUAACUCGUGUAUUAAAGAAUGGCCCUGCAAAUGUUACUCUAUCAUAAAAAUGUAACCACUCUAAUUGAAUUUAGAAGCAAUAUUAAAAUUAUUCUUUUGGUGAUGCUUCCUAGAUGUAUUAAAUAAAAUAUUUAAAGUAGCAAUUGAUUAAACUGCAAAACAAUAAAGAAUUUGAUCGUGAA
rnacentral:lncRNA from 1 species